UACAGAGGGUGCAAGCGUUAAUCGGAAUUACUGGGCGUAAAGCGCAUGUAGGUGGAACAAUAAGUUUGAUGUGAAAGCCCCAGGCUUAACCUGGGAACGGCGUUGAAGACUGUUGUUCUUGAGUUUGACAGAGGGCCGUGGAAUUUCCGGUGUAGCAGUGAAAUGCGUAGAGAUCGGAAAGAACACCAGUGGCGAAGGCGGCGGCCUGGGUCUAAACUGACACUGAGGUGCGAAAGCGUGGGGAGCAAACAGG
rnacentral:rRNA from 1 species